rnacentral:rRNA from 1 species
CCCUUAGAUGUCCUGGGCCGCACGCGUGCUACACUGACGCCUACAGCGAGUACUUCCCAGCCCCGAGGGGUGGCUGGUAAUCAGCAAUAGGCGUCGUGAUGGGGAUAGAUCUUUGGAAUUAUGGAUCUUGAACGAGGAAUGCCUAGUAAGCGCAGGUCAUUAGCCUGCGCUGAUUAAGUCCCUGCCCUUUGUACACACCGCCCGUCGCUCCUACCGAUUUCGAGUGGUCCGGUGAAUCUUUCGGACUGCGCGCGGCCUCGUGCCGUGUCGCGGAAAGUCAGGUAAACCUUAUCACUUAGAGGAAGGAGAAGUCGUAACA